CCUAUUAGCUAGUUGGUGAGGUAACGGCUCACCAAGGCUACGAUAGGUAGCCGGCCUGAGAGGGUGAACGGCCACACUGGAACUGAGACACGGUCCAGACUCCUACGGGAGGCAGCAGUGGGGAAUAUUGCACAAUGGAGGAAACUCUGAUGCAGCGACGCCGCGUGAAUGAUGAAGGCCUUCGGGUCGUAAAAUUCUGUCCUUGGGGAAGAUAAUGACGGUACCCAAGGAGGAAGCCCCGGCUAACUACGUGCCAGCAGCCGCGGUAAUACGUAGGGGGCGAGCGUUGUCCGGAAUUAUUGGGCGUAAAGGGUUCGCAGGCGGUCUGAUAAGUCAGAUGUGAAAGGCUAUGGCUUAACCAUAGUAAGCAUUUGAAACUGUCAGACUUGAGUUAAGGAGAGGAAAGUGGAAUUCCUAGUGUAGCGGUGAAAUGCGUAGAUAUUAGGAGGAAUACCAGUGGCGAAGGCGACUUUCUGGACUUAUACUGACGCUGAGGAACGAAAGCGUGGGGAGCAAACAGGAUUAGAUACCCUGGUAGUCCACGCCGUAAACGAUGAGUGCUAGGUGUUGGGGGUCAAACCUCGGUGCCGCAGCUAACGCAUUAAGCACUCCGCCU
rnacentral:rRNA from 1 species